GAUUGCUUCAUCAGGCUUAGUGAGCCGG
rnacentral:sRNA from 1 species